rnacentral:rRNA from 1 species
UACAGAGGUCCCAAGCGUUGUUCGGAUUCACUGGGCGUAAAGGGUGCGUAGGCGGUCGGGUAAGUCUGAUGUGAAAUCUCACAGUUUAACUGUGAAACUGCAUUGGAUACUAUCCGGCUCGAGGAAUGGAGGGGAGACUGGAAUACUUGGUGUAGCAGUGAAAUGCGUAGAUAUCAAGUGGAACACCAGUGGCGAAGGCGAGUCUCUGGACAUUUCCUGACGCUGAGGCACGAAAGCCAGGGGAGCAAACGGG